GAUGAACGCUGGCGGCGUGCCUAAUACAUGCAAGUCGAGCGAACAGACGAGGAGCUUGCUCCUUUGACGUUAGCGGCGGACGGGUGAGUAACACGUGGGUAACCUACCUAUAAGACUGGGAUAACUUCGGGAAACCGGAGCUAAUACCGGAUAAUAUUUCGAACCGCAUGGUUCGAUAGUGAAAGAUGGAUCUGCUAUCACUUAUAGAUGGACCUGCGCCGUAUUAGCUAGUUGGUAAGGUAACGGCUUAACAAGGCAACGAUACGUAGCCGACCUGGGAGGGUGAUCGGCCACACUGGAACUGAGACACGGUCCAGACUCCUACGGGAGGCAGCAGUAGGGAAUCUUCCGCAAUGGGCGAAAGCCUGACGGAGCAACGCCGCGUGAGUGAUGAAGGUCUUCGGAUCGUAAAACUCUGUUAUUAGGGAAGAACAAACGUGUAAGUAACUGUGCACGUCUUGACGGUACCUAAUCAGAAAGCCACGGCUAACUACGUGCCAGCAGCCGCAGUAAGAC
rnacentral:rRNA from 1 species